CAGCCACACUGGAACUGAGACACGGUCCAGACUCCUACGGGAGGCAGCAGUGGGGAAUAUUGCACAAUGGGCGCAAGCCUGAUGCAGCCAUGCCGCGUGUGUGAAGAAGGCCUUCGGGUUGUAAAGCACUUUCAGUCGUGAGGAAGGUAGUGUAGUUAAUAGCUGCAUUAUUUGACGUUAGCGACAGAAGAAGCACCGGCUAACUCCGUGCCAGCAGCCGCGGUAAUACGGAGGGUGCGAGCGUUAAUCGGAAUUACUGGGCGUAAAGCGCAUGCAGGUGGUUUGUUAAGUCAGAUGUGAAAGCCCGGGGCUCAACCUCGGAAUUGCAUUUGAAACUGGCAGACUAGAGUACUGUAGAGGGGGGUAGAAUUUCAGGUGUAGCGGUGAAAUGCGUAGAGAUCUGAAGGAAUACCGGUGGCGAAGGCGGCCCCCUGGACAGAUACUGACACUCAGAUGCGAAAGCGUGGGGAGCAAACAGGAUUAGAUACCCUGGUAGUCCACGCCGUAAACGAUGUCUACUUGGAGGUUGUGGCCUUGAGCCGUGGCUUUCGGAGCUAACGCGUUAAGUAGACCGCCUGGGGAGUACGGUCGCAAGAUUAAAACUCAAAUGAAUUGACGGGGGCCCGCACAAGCGGUGGAGCAUGUGGUUUAAUUCGAUGCAACGCGAAGAACCUUACCUACUCUUGACAUCCAGAGAACUUUCCAGAGAUGGAUUGGUGCCUUCGGGAACUCUGAGACAGGUGCUGCAUGGCUGUCGUCAGCUCGUGUUGUGAAAUGUUGGGUUAAGUCCCGCAACGAGCGCAACCCUUAUCCUUGUUUGCCAGCGAGUAAUGUCGGGAACUCCAGGGAGACUGCCGGUGAUAAACCGGAGGAAGGUGGGGACGACGUCAAGUCAUCAUGGCCCUUACGAGUAGGGCUACACACGUGCU
rnacentral:rRNA from 1 species